rnacentral:rRNA from 1 species
AUGCAAACCUCCGAGACCCGGCGAAUGUUUGUUAUGUGUGACACAAGGUUCAGUACACAAUUCCUUCGUCUUCCACCACCAAGCAAUUGCCAGGGGCUGGGACAACUCCACGCUCUACGAAAACUCCCACAACAGAAUCUCCUUGUCCUGGUGACUGAUGAGAUAACCAUGAUCAUGAAACAACAGAAUGCUAGCUCAAUUAGGCGUUUGACAGAAGCAUCCAAUGCCAUCCAAGUGGUUCUAUCACAGGCAAAAAAUGCAUUGCAGUCAGAUAUGCUCAACUAUUCAGAGAGAAUUCUGAAAUCAAUUUCAGACCGUUGCCUUUGCUGCCGUACGCGAGGGUUCGCAGAGUGUCAUGCAUCAGGUGUCACUACUGCCAAGAAUGUACGUUUCAGCACUCCUGUUGCACAAAGAAUCCAGGGGCACAGGCUUGAUUUGUCUGAUGGAGAAGCUAUGUCACCGCUUAUCCAGGGUGGAUCAUCAAGGAAACGAAACGCAAGCAAUGAGGACUCCGCAUCCGCAAGCAAAAAAUCGAUUUCAGAAUCAUCCAUUGUGAUUAACUACUUCAAAGACACCGUUCGCAAAGUUGCACAAAUGUAUGCUGAUCUCCCAGCGAACACAACCGUUACCGUGUUUGGCCAAACCCAGGGGAAACUUUCAAAGAGGAAGUACAUUUUUCAGCAUGGUUUUGCAACAAAUCCAUGGGAGUGUGGAGUUUUACCACUACCACCGCACGCUGAAACCAUAGAUAUGAUAGUUGCACACUUCUCCAACUUAACUGAUAGCGAUCUUCAGAGGCAUUAUGUUAUCCACCACUCCCCCAGACUUGUCCGCGUUACAGGGUUUGCUAUGUUUCAUCAGCUCAUUGGCAGUCGAAGUCUCGAUCACGAACUUGCUUCCAUUAUAUGUAGAAGGUACACUCAGUCAAAUAUGGAAGCCAAUAGGGAAUGUCCGUACCUCAACUGGAGGCACAACAUGGAACCGGAGUUUGCGACAAUUGUACUGUCUGACCACGACUAUGUGAACAACAUUUCGAUUUAG